rnacentral:lncRNA from 10 species
CCCAGUGUACAGCAGAAUGAGCCUCCUGUCACCAGCCCAGAGCUCUCAGACAGAAUUGAGUUCCUGUACAGUAGGACUUUCCACUCAUGUCUGUGGUCUAGGAGGAGAUUGGGUUGGGCAAACACCAGGCACGAUGGAGCAACCAUUAACCCUGGAGUUGUGAAGACAGGACCACAAGCUGAGAGAGGGCAGCAAUGGAAACCCAGCCAAACUAUUAAUGGAAGGCUGGGUCCCAUUCUUUAUUAUCCUUCUGUGGUCUCGUCACCAGCAGGGUGAGCCAAAGCCGAGGGCAAGAACACGCUGGGUGACCUUCCACACCCCAAAUGCAAGAUCAAGUGCUGUGGAGAAGGAGGCCCAUGGAAGAACUCGCUAGUGGAAACUGUCAACAUUGACUAGCUAUCAUGAGCCAGGACUGAUGGGAUGACGUGAGCAGAGGACACCAUUAUUUUGUGCUUCAUCAAAGUUGCAAGCUUAAUAAGUGACAAAGUGGGGUCCAAAACCCAAUUGUAAGUCCACUACCCUAUUAGAUUUCUCAUGGGGGCAGAGGAGAAAAGAUUGCAUAUUUGCAUAUCAGGGCAGCUUCAUUGCUUUGCACAUUUGAUUUUAAUAUUUGUAAUAAACAUCCUCUGAUGAUCUACAUCUCCAGAUUUGAGAAGCCUAAGGAUGAGACAGUGAUAGACAAUCAGUCCAGCCACCAGCAUCCCGUUGGUACAGUUAAGUCUAAGGAGGGGCAGGUGCACAGCUGGGAGGCUCCAGCCAGCCUAAACACACAGACUGAGACAGGACUUGGGGGCAUGGAGGCCAGACCGUGAACUCAGGGCAGCGUGACCUUUUGGGUGUCACUAAUUCACCACCUUGGCUUGCACAACAGUCCAUUGGUCUUGCAUCAAAACCUCAAAACCUCCGUCCUCUCUCGCAUACCCACUUACAUGUUGGCAAAGGUUGGAAUGUCUGCCGAGAAACCUGGUGGAUAGCCUCCCUUUUCCACACUCACAGAAGGAGCUUUGACAGUUCAGGCCUUCUUGAAAAGUUAGAAAACUGUCCUGGGUAGUGAGUAUAUCUAUGAGAAUUUGGAGGUAAAGUCUUUUUUUACAAGAAUGUUAACUGAACUAUAGUAGACCUCUCUUAUCCGCCAGGCAUGUGUUCCAAGAUUCCCAGCAGAUGCCUAAAACCCUGGGUAGUACCUAACCCUAUUUCCAUCAUUUGGAACACAUUUCAGUUCAUAAUUUCCACCCACAAAUUUAAUGCCUUUUUCCAUCUUAACUAAGCACUUAUCACGCACUGGGGCCAUAACUUUUGCAGUUUAAGAUAUGACAGCAAAACUAGCAUGAAUUUCUUUUUCCUUCUUCACAAUUUCACAGAUAGAAGAUUUAUUCUUACAAUAGAUCUUAGCAACCUCAACAUAUAAUUUUUUUUUUCCUUAAAAGUCAAGAACUUUCACCUUUUACUUAAAGGAAGCAUUUUACAGGCUGGGCACGGUGGCUCACGCCUGUAAUUCCAGCACUUUGGGAGGCCAAGGCAGGCGGAUCACCUGAGGUCAGGAGUUCAAGACCAGCCUGGCCAACAUGGUGAAACCCUGUCUCUACUAAAAAUACAAAAAUUAGCUGGGCGUGGUGGUGUAUGCCUGCAGUCCCAGCUACUUGAGAGGCGGAGGCAAGAGUAUCACUUGAAUCUAGGAGGCUGAGGUCGCAAUGAGCCAAGAUUGUGCCAUUGCACUCCAGUCUGGCUGACAAGUGUGAGACUCCAACUCAAAAAAAUUAAAAAAGGAAACACUUUACAGCUUCUCUUUGGCUUAUCCGAAUUGCCAGCACCACUAUCGUUGCUCAGAGGGGCCAUUACGAAGUAAAAUAAGAGUGACUUGAGCACAGACACUGCGAUGUCAUGACAGUCAGUAUAGCGAAGACAGCCAUGAAGUGACUAAUGGGCAGGUAGCGUAGACAGCAUGGAAUAUGGUGGAAAGUGAUGAUCCAUGCCCCAGUGAGAUGCAACAGGACAGCAUGAUAUUUUAGCAUGCUACUCAGAGCAAUGCAACAUUUAAAACUGAUUAACUGUUUCUGGAAUUUUCCAUUUAAUAUUUUCAGGCUGUGGUGGAUCGUGAGUAAUUGAAACUGUGAAAAUACAGAUGGGGGGAUUACUGUACUUACCGGGCAUGACCCCAGGGAUGGUGGUGCUAAUUAAAACCAUGCAUAUCUCCUGCCCUCAAGGAACUUAGGCUGAACUGGAGAGACAGAUACAGGGGAGGGAGG